GAUCAUGGCUCAGGACGAACGCUGGCGGCGUGCUUAACACAUGCAAGUCGAACGGUGAACCAGAGCUUGCUCUGGGGAUCAGUGGCGAACGGGUGAGUAACACGUGGGCAACCUGCCCCAGACUCUGGGAUAACCUCGGGAAACCGAUGCUAAUACCGGAUACGACCACUUCGGACAUCCGACGGUGGUGGAAAGUUUUUCGGUCUGGGAUGGGCCCGCGGCCUAUCAGCUAGUUGGUGGGGUAAUGGCCUACCAAGGCGACGACGGGUAGCCGGCCUGAGAGGGCGACCGGCCACACUGGAACUGAGACACGGUCCAGACUCCUACGGGAGGCAGCAGUGGGGAAUAUUGCACAAUGGGCGAAAGCCUGAUGCAGCGACGCCGCGUGAGGGACGACGGCCUUCGGGUUGUAAACCUCUUUCAGCAGGGACGAAGCGAAAGUGACUGUACCUGCAGAAGAAGCACCGGCUAACUACGUG
rnacentral:rRNA from 1 species